rnacentral:rRNA from 1 species
UACGUAGGGGGCAAGCGUUGUCCGGAAUCAUUGGGCGUAAAGAGCGUGUAGGCGGCCCGGUAAGUCCGCUGUGAAAGUCCAGGGCUCAACCCUGGGAUGCCGGUGGAUACUGUCGGGCUCGAGUCCGGAAGAGGAGUGUGGAAUUCCUGGUGUAGCGGUGAAAUGCGCAGAUAUCAGGAAGAACACCAAUGGCGAAGGCAGCACUCUGGGACGUGACUGACGCUGAGACGCGAAAGCCAGGGGAGCAAACGGG